CCGGCCCCUAGAGGCGUUGCAGUUGUGACUGCUGCAUCAUUAGUGUCAGGAGGUGGCAGAGAAGAGAGAGGCCAUGUCUUCACUCAGUGUUCUGACCUAGGAACAUCUGAUUAGUAGCUUAACUUU